UUUCCGUAGGUGAACCCGCGGAAGGAUCAUUAAUGAGUUGUCAUGGGGUUCGAUGCUGGCAGCCAGUUUUUGGAUGCAUGUGCUUGCCCUAACAAUCAUCUUCUUCCAAACACCUGUGCACAUUUUUGAGGGAGUCUUGAGUUGGUUGCCGCUCUUGGGUGAUUUUCUCACAUUCCCUUAAAUCAUUAUACGCUAUUAACAAUGUUGAACGUGCUCUGUGCCGCAAGGCCAUUAAUAUAAUACAACUUUUAACAACGGAUCUCUUGGCUCUU
rnacentral:misc_RNA from 1 species